GAAAGAAGAACCUGUCAAGAUAGCCAAGGAGACUGCCUGAAAACCAUAUCAAAGGUCUUUCUACAAUAACUUCAUGAAAGACCUGAAAAUGGUGCAGGCAAGUCAUCCUUGGCUACCAAACAACAUUCUUCCUA
rfam:Ipomoea nil DNA, scaffold: scaffold2403, cultivar: Tokyo-kokei standard.